rnacentral:rRNA from 1 species
CUCCGCAGGGGGAUAACCCGGAGAAAUCCGGACUAAUACCGCGUGGUACACUUGUGGGGCAUCCCACGGGUGUUAAAAGGAAGUGAUUCCGGCGGAGGAUGGGCAUGCGGCGCAUUAGCUUGUUGGCGGGGUAACGGCCCACCAAGGCGACGAUGCGUAGGGGUUCUGAGAGGAAGGUCCCCCACACUGGUACUGAGACACGGACCAGACUCCUACGGGAGGCAGCAGUGAGGAAUAUUGGUCAAUGGGCGGGAGCCUGAACCAGCCAAGUCGCGUGAGGGAAGACGGUCCUAUGGAUUGUAAACCUCUUUAGGCGGGGAGCAAUGCCGGGCACGUGUGCCCGGAGGGAGAGUACCCGUAGAAUAAGCAUCGGCUAACUCCGUGCCAGCAGCCGCGGUAAUACGGAGGAUGCGAGCGUUAUCCGGAUUUAUUGGGUUUAAAGGGUGCGUAGGCGGAUUUUUAAGUCAGCGGUAAAAUGUCCGGGCUCAACCCGGGCCGGCCGUUGAAACUGGGGAUCUUGAGUGGGCGAGAAGUAUGCGGAAUGCGUGGUGUAGCGGUGAAAUGCAUAGAUAUCACGCAGAACUCCGAUUGCGAAGGCAGCAUACCGGCGCCC